UCCACUGCCAUUUAUUGGCCAGAGCAAGUCACAAGGCCAGCCCAGAUUCAAGGGAUGAUGGAAUGGACUCCACUUCUUCAUGGAGGAACAGCAAAGUCACAUUGCAAGUGGAUGUGCAUACAUGGAGUGGUGGAGAAUUGUGGCCAAUUUUGCAAUCUACCAUUUUUGUGGAAAGAGCCAACUCUGCCAACAUCGUAUAUGGACCAGACUUACCAGAGAAUUUAAGGUUUCCACUCCUCAGUUUCAACUAUUCUGAAUUCAGUAUCUCUGUGGUGCAGAAGCCCAGGAAGGGAACAUGUUGGCCUUGACCCUUGGAAACCCCUUUAUUGCUUCUGUAAAGUAGGAGGAUUUACGCCAGUGCAGGCGAUUCCAGAAACGGCAGAGGAGAAUUUUCACCAUAAAUAAUUUUCUGGAAGAAGAUUGAUUCACUAUGGAAUUUAACUCCUGCCAACAAUGGUUGCUCUGGCCUAAAGGCCUUUGAGUUGAAGGAAAUCUACAUUUACUAUUGGUUAUUUAGGCUGCCACCCUGCAAGGGCUUUUGCAAUCAAGAUGUUCUGGAAUUCAGGUCACUGAUGCCAACAGCUCAUAUCCCAUUACCUGAGCCAGACUGAUAAAGUGAUGGAAGAGAGAGCAAGAGGAUGUUACUUCAGCUACUACAGAGGGCAACAAGCGAGAAAAACUGUCCUCCAGAAAACCAGGAGAAACACUCCUAGGAUACUCCCCAAACCAACCUGAACAAAUGUGUUGACUGCAAAGUGACAACAGCAGAGAUCGGCUCUGAAAAUGUGAAAUGAGCAGACUGUGGGGAAAAUUAGCCUUUCUAAGGGCAUAUAAGGCAAGUACCAUACUGUGAGUACAGUGCCAUUUUCAGGCAUCUCAUUACUGAAUUCUGCAGAUUUUAUGAAAACUAGGUACAGGGGAAUUAUGUAUCAGG